GAUAGCCCCGUAGGCGUAGUGUCUGGCAUGAUCCUCGAGUAGGGCGGGGCACGUGAAACCCUGUCUGAACGUGGGGGGACCACCCUCCAAGCCUAAAUACUCCUUGGCGACCGAUAGUGCACAAGUACCGUGAGGGAAAGGUGAAAAGCACCCCGACGAGGGGAGUGAAAGAGACCUGAAACCGAGCGCCUACAAGCAGUCGGAGCACUCCUGAAGUGUGACGGCGUACCUUUUGUAUAAUGGGUCCGCGAGUUUCUGUUGGCAGCAAGCUUAAGCCGAGAGGUGUAGGCGCAGCGAAAGCGAGUCUGAUAAGGGCGCUUGAGUUGCCGGCAGAAGACCCGAAACCGAGUGAUCUAGCCAUGGCCAGGUUGAAGGUGGGGUAACACCCACUGGAGGACCGAACCCACGCCUGUUGAAAAAGUCGGGGAUGAGCUGUGGCUAGGGGUGAAAGGCCAAUCAAACUCGGAAAUAGCUGGUUCUCCGCGAAAUCUAUUGAGGUAGAUCGUCGUCCGAUUACCUUCGGAGGUAGAGCACCGGAAGGGCUAGGGGGGCCCAAAGCCCUACCAAACCCUACCGAACUCCGAAUGCCGAAGAGUACAGGACGGCAGACAGACAGUGGGUGCUAAGGUCCAUUGUCGAGAGGGAAACAGCCCAGACCACCAGCUAAGGCCCCCAAAUCGUGGCUAAGUGGGAAAGCAUGUGAGACGGCCAAAACAACCAGGAGGUUGGCUUAGAAGCAGCCAUCCUUUAAAGAAAGCGUAAUAGCUCACUGGUCUAAUAGCUGUCUUGCGGCGAAAAUGUAACGGGGCUCAAGCCACGUGCCGAAGCUGUGGAUGCAUGAGCAAUCAUGCGUGGUAGCGGAGCGUUCCGUAGGCCUGCGAAGGGAGACCCGUGAGGGCUCCUGGAGGUAUCGGAAGUGCGAAUGCGGACAUGAGUAGCGAUAAACAGGGUGAGAACCCCUGUCGCCGAAAGUCCAAGGGUUCCUGCGCAAGGUCAAUCCGCGCAGGGUGAGCCGGCCCCUAAGGCGAGGGCGAAAGCCGUAGUCGAUGGAAACCAGGUGAAUAUUCCUGGGCCUGACAGACGUGACGGCUGCGAAGUGUUGUUCCUCCUUAUCGGAUUGGAGGGGCAGCUGGAGCAGCCCAGGAAAUAGCGCUGUCGAGAAAGACCGUACCCGAAACCGACACAGGUGGACUGGUUGAGAAUACCGAGGCGCUUGAGAGAACUAUGCUGAAGGAACUAGGCAAAUUACUCGCGUAACUUCGGGAUAAGCGAGACCCCUUCCUGCGCAAGCAAGGAGGGGUGGCACAGACCAGGGGGUAGCGACUGUUUAGUAAAAACACAGGGCUCUGCGAAAUCGAGAGAUGACGUAUAGGGUCUGACACCUGCCCGGUGCCGGAAGGUCAAGGGGAGAUGUGCAAGCAUCGAACCGAAGCCCCGGUAAACGGCGGCCGUAACUAUAACGGUCCUAAGGUAGCGAAAUUCCUUGUCGGGUAAGUUCCGACCUGCACGAAUGGUGUAACGACUUCCCCACUGUCUCCAGCAUAGACUCAGCGAAAUUGAAUUCCCCGUGAAGAUGCGGGGUACCCGUGGUCAGACGGAAAGACCCUAUGAACCUUUACUGCAGCUUCGCAGUGGUGCCAGGAAGGAACUGUGUAGGAUAGGUGGGAGCCACUGAAACCCGGGCGCCAGCUCAGGUGGAGGCAACCUUGAAAUACCACCCUGUUUCUUUCUGGCAUCUCACUGAGCCCGGU
rnacentral:rRNA from 1 species